AUUGAACGCUGGCGGCAUGCUUUACACAUGCAAGUCGAACGGUAACAGGCCGCAAGGUGCUGACGAGUGGCGAACGGGUGAGUAAUGCAUCGGAACGUGCCCAGUCGUGGGGGAUAACUACUCGAAAGAGUAGCUAAUACCGCAUACGAUCUAUGGAUGAAAGCGGGGGACCGUAAGGCCUCGCGCGAUUGGAGCGGCCGAUGUCAGAUUAGGUAGUUGGUGGGGUAAAGGCUCACCAAGCCAACGAUCUGUAGCUGGUCUGAGAGGACGACCAGCCACACUGGGACUGAGACACGGCCCAGACUCCCACGGGAGGCAGCAGUGGGGAAUGUGGGACAAUGGGCGCAAGCCUGAUCCAGCAAUGCCGCGUGCAGGAAGAAGGCCUUCGGGUUGUAAACUGCUUUUGUACGGAACGAAACGGCUCUGGUUAAUACCCGGGGCUAAUGACGGUACCGUAAGAAUAAGCACCGGCUAACUACGUG
rnacentral:rRNA from 1 species